GAUAUUACCUAACGGAAUAUCUUCAGAACAGCUCCAAAUGACACAAAACUCAUAUGGCUCUACAUUGUGUGAGAGGACCACUCUGGAGCUGGAGACUUCCACCUCCUUUGGGGUUCCUAGAACAUACAUUUCUGGAGUAGAACUUGGUCUGUAACCUGUGCUGAUGCUGCCUACAGCACCAGGACUCUGAAAGUGCCUUCAGUCAGAGGCUUCUCCAGACCCGAGGAAAGACAGCUAUGAAAGAUCCUUCCUGCCUACAUCAGCACCUUAUAAGAACCCGAUGGAGAAAAAAAAACAAACAAACUAUAAGUUACUGCAAGAUUUCAUUUGUCUUAUUUUUGAAUCUGAAUUGAACUGAAUCUGCUUAUUAUGUUCUGCUUGUUAUGUUAAAUUUAAUACAGCGAGGUAAUGUAAAAGUGAAAACAGUAAGACUAUGCCUAAACUAUAUCAAUCAUCAUAGAAAACAUUCCACUUGA